rnacentral:misc_RNA from 1 species
AACGCACGAGACCUGCGGACCUGCGGAGGGAUCAUUACCGAGUUUACAACUCCCAAACCCAAUGUGAACGUUACCAAACUGUUGCCUCGGCGGGAUCUCUGCCCCGGGUGCGUCGCAGCCCCGGACCAAGGCGCCCGCCGGAGGACCAACCAAAACUCUUUUGUAUACCCCCUCGCGGGUUUUUAUAUCUGAGCCAUCUCGGCGCCUCCCGUAGGCGUUUCGAAAAUGAAUCAAAACUUU